rnacentral:rRNA from 1 species
GUAGGCUGGUUGUCCAGGCAAAUCCGGAUAAUCAAGGCUGAGGUGUGAUGACGAGGCACUACGGUGCUGAAGUAACAAAUGCCCUGCUUCCAGGAAAAGCCUCUAAGCAUCAGGUAACAUUAAAUCGUACCCCAAACCGACACAGGUGGUCAGGUAGAGAAUACCAAGGCGCUUGAGAGAACUCGGGUGAAGGAACUAGGCAAAAUGGUGCCGUAACUUCGGGAGAAGGCACGCUGGUGUG